AUUAUUUGUUGCUGACUCAGCACUCUAUAUGCAAUUUUAAAUCAGCUAGCUAGCUAGCUACAUUAGUUCUAGCAACUCUUCAAUCUAUGGUUCUAGUGAGGCAGAGCUCAUGUCAAUGAUUCUUCCAGAGACUAGACUCAUGCAUAUAGAUCUACACUACUGUGGACUAGACUCAUCUACUUGUAAGAAGGUAGUACUGUACUGUAUGUAGGUGGCUGUUGAUUAUGUCAAGAAUUGCCAGCAUGAACUCGUGAGCAUCUUCUUGGUUUAUACCUGUUUGGAGCGUGGUAUGACUAUCCUAUAUAGCCGAAUGUCUUUGUCUAUCGCUAUAUAGGGUUGGACAGAAGGGUUAUGGCUGCCAGUGAUGCAUCUCAAUAAAAAACUGAGAGUUUUCAGCUGAGAGUUUCCAGAGGAAGAAACGUGGGAUACAUGCAGCCUCACUAUACAUGAUAACUUUUCACUUCACUUCACUUCCCUGAACAUAAUUUCUGUUACAAGUUUUACAUCAAAUGUGCAUUAAUAGUCUCUGUACCAUGACUGGUAUAAUCAAUGAAACUUGGAAGCAAAGCAUGUGUUUCAAAUGU